GUACGCUUUGCUUGCACGCGGGACUGGUGGGUGUUCUGCAGAUUGAGUAAGAGGAUUCCUCAGAUGGAGGGUGGGGGACCCCGCAGACUGAUUGGGGGGCCCGGAAGACCAAGGGAGAGGACUCCGAAGACCCCGAGAGGAGGACGAAGGGACCUCGCGGACAGGAUUUCUGAGAGAAAGGAUUUCUGAGACCCAGUUCAGAUUGAAGGAGGGGACCGAGGGGAGACUAGAGACUGCGCGCGCUUCGGGGAAAAAAAGAUCUGAAGGCAGAGGGAGACGUCCAGAAUUAAAAAUAUAUAUUUGAUGAUAGACCCUCGAAGAGGAAGGCCGGUGAGGAGAGACCCUAAAGACUUAUGGCAGAGGCUGAGGAGAGACACCUGUGUGAGGGAGCGCCUCUCCCCGGAGUGGAGCCUGCAGGGUGUGGGAGGAGUUGGCGAGUGUUGGGUCGCUGAGGCGAGAGAUGUGCGAAGGGAGCGCGAGCACUGGGUAUUUUGAAACUCAUGAAUAUCUUCUGGCUCCUAGUUUUGCAUGCUGGGCAAUUUGCAGAAGAUGGUUGGAAAUGGAAAAGGAAUAGGAAGGUACACAGGGCUAAGUGAAUAUGGAAUAAUAACUUUUUUAAAAGGAAACCAGAAUGUAUCCAUUUUAAGCAGCCUCUUUCCACAGUUGUCUUCUUGCAUUAUCCACUUAAGUUAUUGUUGCUGCAGACAGUAAAUGUCUUUGGAAGUAAUUUAGAGCUCCCAGUUUGCAAGUUACAUAAUAAAAUCUUUCCUUGGACUCUUCAUUCACAGUUCAUUUUAAACAAAACUAUAAAAAUUUACUGGGCUUAACUGGAGAGCUUUUGGCUAUUGCUAGAAAUCAAAUCCAACCUGAAGGGUAUAUGGAAGCUGUAAAGACAGUUCCAAAAGCUGUCUCUAAAAAUCUUUUAGGACAACAUCUCAUUCUUUUUGUCUUCCAUAGUGCAUAGCCUAACAGAUAGCUCGUACUCAGAAAAUGUUUAUACAGUUGAAUCAUUUUGUAGUCUUAUUACUUAAUGGUUCACAUUUUGAUAAGCUCUUUUUUACUUUCUCUUGUUAUCACUAUGUUUGCAAUACUAAAACCCAGAAAAGAUUAAUAAAAAUAUUAAGGAAUGAAAUAUAAAGUAUUAUGCUAUAUAAUUUUGACUGGUAUUAUUUAUUUUAAUAAGUAAUACACUAAACCAUUUUAAUUGAACAAUACAAAAGAAUAUGGAGGAAAGAUAAAAUAUCUCUCCCUCCCCCACCAGAGUAACCACUUUGAUGCGUUUAAACCCAUGUUUUCUGAUAGCCACUGGCCACAUGUGGCUAUUGAGUGCUUGAAUGUAGCUAGCCCAAAUUAAGAUGUACUGCCAAGUGUAAAAUACAAAUUGUAUUUCAAAGACUUAGUAAGAAGAAGUGUGUAAAAUACCUCAUUAUUAACUUUUUACAUUGAUUACAUAUUGAAAUAAGUUUAUACAGUGGGUUAAAUAAAACAUGAUUAAAUUUCAUUUUAACC